CUGCUGCCUCCCGUAGGAGUCUGGUCCGUGUCUCAGUACCAGUGUGGGGGGACCUUCCUCUCAGAACCCCUACGCAUCGUCGCCUUGGUGGGCCGUUACCCCGCCAACUAGCUAAUGCGACGCAUGACCAUCCGUAGCCGGAAUCGCUUCCUUUAAACCCGAGGAGAUGCCUCCUCGGGUUGUUACGCGGUAUUAGACGGAAUUUCUUCCGCUUAUCCCCCUGCUACGGGCAGGUUUCAUACGUGUUACUCACCCGUGCGCCGGUCGCCGGCGGGAG
rnacentral:rRNA from 1 species